GACCAACCGGAGGCACCAGCUGCGCGGCCGCGUGGUCUGCCCGAGACAGAAGAAGACUGUAGCCGCCAGUGCUGGCAGGAGCCAGGCCCGACCGCGGGCUGCCGGAUGGACACAGCCCACUCAUCCUCAAAAGCCUGGGGUCGGGGCACAAGACUCCGCGGGCAGAAGUGAAGGGCACUCCUUCAGCUGCGAACGUGUGACAGGCAGCGGGCGGCUUUCAGCAGAACUCCAGGAAACACUCGGCGGAGCGGGGCAGAGGCCGUGAGCAGGGCAGGGCGCGACGGCUGUGACUGCAGAGUGACAGGUGUUUUGCUACCUUGAUGAAACAGUGGCUUCUUGGGCACGAGUCGGAGGAUCUUCGAAAAGUCCACAGAGAAGCACAUCCUGGUAAAGCUGGGCGUGGGUUUCAAACGUUUGGCACCAAAAGAAACUGGUGCCUUCGAUCUCUCUCCCACGACUGUCCGGAGCCCCCCACCUGUGCCAGGCUUGACCGCGCACGGCACCGGACGCCGUCUCAGUAAAGCUGUUUAAA